rnacentral:misc_RNA from 1 species
AAUUUAGUUUGGUUUCGCUUUGGUUUUGAAAGGUUUUGAAUUCUGUUUUUGAUUCAACACCCCUCAUUCGGUUCGGUUUCGUUUCGUUUUGUGCUUUUUCGGUUCGAUUUUGAUGCAAUGGAAAUUUAAAAAUUAAGCAAAAAAGUGAAAAAUAGAAUUAUUGAAAGAUCCCUUUUAUAAUGAUUUUUAAAUUUUUGCUUAAGCCGUUUUCACCGUUUGCGCAAUAAGUAUUCACACAUCCACUUGUAUCUACGUCGUUCGUUCAUCCAUUUUGUAUUUGUCGUGUAUGCUCCAUAAAUUCCAAAAUAGCAAAGACAAUUCGAAUUUAUGAAAAAACUGAAAAAAAAAAAUCUUUUUCCAAUGUGAAAAAUUCAUCAGCUAGUGUACUAAAAAUAGAUAUGAUGCAUAACAAUUGAUUUUAUGCAUCUGUAAUCGCAUUAUGGAUUUAGCAGAUCAAAUCGAUGAUUAUAUUUGUUCAUUUGAAGGAAUUGGUGAUUUAACAAUGGACUCAUUAGCAAUGUUCAUAUUUAUUUGGGCCGUAUUGGCCCUCUUCUUAGUAUGGCUGUGUAAAUUUUUAUAUAAUAAAUAUAUGUUAAAUAAUAAUAAUGGCAAAACGCCGACAAGUCAGAGUAAUAGUCGACAGACUAGUGUGGCACCCGGCGCAGCCAGUGCAACGAAAGCCGAAGCGAACAAACGACUAUCCGAACCGAGAGAAUUGAUUGCAAGCAAAGCGGAUUUUAAGGACUUAGCGGCCAAAUCAGGUGGCGCACGCGGUCGCACGCCCGUUGGUGGCGCUGGUGGCGGCGGCGGUACCGGAAUUGGCGCUGGUGGUGCACGCCGACGAAUGGUGCGACAGGGCUCAACUGGGCCGGAGAGUCGCAAGAAACGAUAUGUGCCGCCACCGUCCAAUGUUGUUGGACCCGAAACAACUUCUGUGACUUGGACCAGCCAAGUGUUCCGUUGGCUUUACAGCGAUCUGGUGAUUGUCAACGAAUUAUUAACCUCAUGGGUUAUAGCCUUAAAUGAGACACUCAAGAAAUCAAUGGAAGAGCAUGGGAUUGCCGUUGAGAUAGUGCGCGUACUGCCCGAUAGUCCACCACCAAGCCUAAAUAAUAUUUUCUGCAACUGUGACGAAAGUAAUCCAUCUAAUAUGCUGAUUACCUUCGAUUGCGACGCACAACCAGUGUUGCAGGUGAAGACGUUCCGCCAAAAGGCCGGCAAGGUGGACACUUCCCACUAUAAAGUUACCGUCUCACGCUUCCGUGCACGCAUGGCCACCGCCAUUAGUUACAACAGCCUCAAGGGCGAGAUGAAAGUAGACGGUUAUCCAGAUAUACGUGUUGCCAUGAACAGUGUAGGGGCCAUUAAACCAAUGGACCAGGAUGAACAGCAGGUGCAGGGAGUGAUUAGCGACAUCAUAACAGCCACUCUACGUGACACCGUCUACCCGGUGGACUUUUCGGUUUACGCGACCUGCCCACGAGCCGAAAUCGAUCCAUUAGAUAUGCCUGUAAUAUAUCCAGUGAAUUAUGAUGCAAUAGCGCAAAACAUGGAGGACCCUACUUUGUCGGGUCUGCAACCGAUGAUCUCUGGGCGCCGUCUGCUGGUGAAAAUCGUGAAAGGUGAUGGUCUGGGAGACGCUAAGGACCCCUAUGUCGUGGUGGAGAUGGAUGAACCGGCCCAAAAGAAUCAGACCGGGGCACGACAAGGUGCCACACCUUAUUGGGACGAACAUUUCCUAUUUGAACUCUCACCCCAGUCGGCUGAGAUUUUAUUCGAAGUUUACGAUCGCCCAGCCAACGCCAAUGAUCCAGCGAAAUUUCUCGGUUUGGGUUUGGUGGGUAUUGAUGAAUUGGCCGUUGGGCCUGCAUCCACCCAAGUGCUGACACUACAGCCGCGUCCAUAUGAGACGCAUCCGGUGAGCGGCACCAUCACUGUGGACUUUGUGUUCAUUGAAGGUGCCGAAAUACCCGCUGGACCUAAACCGUAUAAACUGAAGGAGGCGUUGAGGAUUAGCACGCCUAUGAUUAACGAGCACAUGAAGAAUGGCGCCGAUUUAGCCGAUGCUGCUGUUCGCGCUUUACAAGAUGGCGCACUCUCCACCACGGGACAGCCCAGCAAGAGCACGCUGAUCAUACAUAGCGUUCAGCGGAACCAAAACAAUUCAAAUGCAUUUAAGGUUGAGGUGAACAAAGAGGGUAGAAUCGAAGUCAAGGAGACGCCACAAGAUGAGUUCGACGGCGGUAUGCCACCAUCCGCUGGAACGCCCUUAAACGAUAAUACCAGCGAAUCUCUGCCCACCGCUAAUACUACAGCGGACAUCGAACAGAUCCAGCAGGAUAUUUCGGCGACGACAGACAUAACGGCAAGCCCCACAGACUCAUAUCCCCCAAACGAUGUAUCCUUGGACGAAUCGGGUGUGGCUUCAGGUAACAGCAGCGCCUUGGUUGCAUCCAGCGGCGAGUUUGGCCAGCCAAAUGCCGCCUCCUCACCGCAGGGUCACAACGGGUACUCUCCUUACACAACUACAAACGGUUCGCAAACUCAUGGUUACCAAAGUAAUAGUUUGCCACGCAAUGGCGGCGCCUCAAGCACACCACUGAACACCACGGCUGCUGAUUUGGACGAGAGAGGACGGAGUAAGAAACGAAAUUUCUUUGGAACUUUAAAAAAACGUUUAAGUCGAUCCAAGACACGCACCCAUUCGGCUGAUCGUGGCGCUUUAACGCCGUCCCACAAUAAUAACGGUACUACCCCAACAGGAACACUUAACGGUGAUUCACGUUCAUUAUCUGUCGAUCGUGCUGUUAUGUCUAAAAGCAAUUCACUUGGCGUGCGCUCUGGCUCCUCACGACUUGAUCACUCAAGACAAUCUUCAAUUUCAGAAUCGUCCGCAAUCUCAGGUUUCUCGUCGGCCAGCAACAAAACGUACGUACAUGAAGCAUCCACACUGGUGCUGGAGACAAUUGAGAAUGGUGUAAAGCGACACUUUAUUGUACCGCUAGCAAUCGCACAACGCCCAAGAUGGCGUCGCAAAGGCACAAAAUUGCACAUCUACAAUGAUCACACCUUUAUCGCCAAGCAUUUGAGCGGUGGUGGCCUACAAUGUCAGGUCUGCAUGAAGUCCAUACCACGGCGACCGGGCAAGCAGGGCUACGAAUGUCGGGACUGCAAUUUGAUCUGCCACAAGCAAUGUCACGUACGCGCCCCACAAGCAUGUCCGAAUCCUACAGUGCUUUCAAUGGAAUUGACCUCAUUUCCGGAUGAUGACUUUUGAAACAAGAGAGCUUAAUAUCGCCCGCCAGAGCACGCUUCACCAAAACUUACACAAUUAAACUAAAAAAAACUUAAAAAACAAUUUUGUAUUAUUCAUACUUCAAUGUUGAUAGCUUUUAUUAGUCGAAUAUAUUCGAAAAAUAGGAAAAGUGUAUGUAUGUAUGUAUGACACUGUUAAAAAAAGGAAAAAUAGCUUUUGAAAAUCUAAAAGACGGUUAUAAGGUGCUAUUUUGGCAACGCUAAUAAACGGAUCGAAACUUAAUUCUGCCGCUGCUGAUCGGAGCAUAAGAAAAUUAUGAAAGCGUUAUUAACGGUAACGACCGCAUAC